rnacentral:lncRNA from 1 species
AAGGCCUAGGGGAGGCCGAAGCGGAGAAGUUGCCUGAAGACUGGGAAGUAAGAGUAGGGGCGUCGGAGGAAUCGAAGUUGCAGUGACAUCAGGCUCGGACAGCCGGCGGACUCCUCGCAAGGCCUCAAACUUCUUCAUGGGAAAAGAUGGCUUCUCUUUUUUAAUUGAAUGAACUAGAAGAAGUUCAUUGUUAUUCAUCAACUUCAAAGAGACUAUAUGAGGCCCCUUGGCCAGGACUACAGAGCAGUAUUUUUUAAUCAGAAAUUAUAGCCAAAAAGAAGAGACCAGAACACAUGGGGGAUGAAGUGGGAUGAGAGGAAGGAGAAGAGAUGAAGGUGAAAGACCACUCUGAGGUCAAGAUAAACUUUGUUAAAAUUACAUGGUGUUUCAUCUGGAUGUAUUCACAGUAAAAAUUAGUUCAAUAUAGUUUAUUUUUAGCUUGCAAAAAAGCAUAUAGGGAGAAAGAUCAGAAAGGACACUCAGUGGGGAGGAGAGCAGAGUUUUUGAUGUCGUUAUCAUUAUUUUAAUACACUUGAGAGCUAAGUAGGGGGGCUCAGUUUGUGAACAUUCACUGAGCUUUAUGCCUAAGAUAUGUGCACUUUUCUAUGCAUAUGAAAACAAAAAGAACACAACAUAUGGAGUAAACAAUGUCCUAAUGAGACUGUGACUAGAAUAUUACCAAAGUGGCAUUCAGGAAGAUAGCA